rnacentral:rRNA from 1 species
GACGAACGCUGGCGGCGUGCUUAACACAUGCAAGUCGAACGGUAAGGCCCUUCGGGGUACACGAGUGGCGAACGGGUGAGUAACACGUGGGUGAUCUGCCCUGCACUUCGGGAUAAGCCUGGGAAACUGGGUCUAAUACCGGAUAGGACCACUGCCUGCAUGGGCGGUGGGGGAAAGCUUUUGCGGUGUGGGAUGGGCCCGCGGCCUAUCAGCUUGUUGGGGGGGUGAUGGCCUACCAAGGCGACGACGGGUAGCCGGCCUGAGAGGGUGACCGGCGACACUGGGACGUAGAUACGGCCCAGACUCCUACGGGAGGCAGCAGUGGGGAAUAUUGCACAAUGGGCGCAAGCCUGAUGCAGCGACGCCGCGUGAGGGAUGACGGCCUUCGGGUUGUAAACCUCUUUCAGCACCGACGAAGCGCAAGUGACGGUACCUACAGAAGAAGGACCGGCCAACUACGUGCCAGCAGCCGCCGUAA